GGAUGUGUGACCACUUCAGAGUGACCCUUUUCCUCCUCUUCUUUACUGGUGGGUUCUGAAUCCUGCGGAAGUGCCAGGCACAGAGAAGCCCUGGUCCCAGCCCCGGAGUGCCCCAGCCUGCCCCCGAGGCCACUCCCCACUCACCCUAGGACAUAGGGAGAAUGUCUGGAGUGACAUUCUUUCUCCACUCUCCUUACCAAAGCCCAGAAUCCCAGAACUGAGCCAACACACAGGCUCUGUCGGUGAUGCGCUGAGUGACCUGGGGGGUCCAGCACUGCCCCAUCGCUGGGCCUCGGUUUCCCCAUCAGUCACACGAGGAGGAUGGGUUCGGCACGACUGCGAUGCAUUCCACGAUGCUAUGCGAACAGUUUCCUCAUCUCGAAAAUGGAGCGAGUGGUGAAGUUCUGAGGUCCUGUCCGCCUCCUUCCCUCCGGAUUCCUGGCACACCCAGCCCCAUCACGGGGCUGAGAGCAGUGACUCGGCAGAAAUGAAAGCUCCAGACUGCUAGCAACCAAAUGAGGAAGAGGAGAUUAGGACACAGACAGGCACAGAGGAAGGAUCACAUGAAGACACAGCAAGAAGACGGCCGUCUAUAAGCCAAGGAGAGAAGCCUCAGAAGAAACCAGCUCUGCUGAUACCUUGAUCUUGGGUCUCCAGUCUCCAGGCUGGAAGAAAACAAAUUUCUGUUGUUUAAGCCACCGGUCUGUGGCACUUUGUUAUGGCAGCCCUGGGAAACCAAUA